UAGUUUUUUAGAUUUUUUUUGUGUUUUUGUAAUAAUUUUCAAAGUUUUUGAUUUAGUUAACCGCCACCGUAUAGUUGUUGGUAAUGAUUUUUGGUCUCGAAAUUAAGUUCAGUUCAUUUCACGCUUUUUUUUUUCUUUUACGUACUUUUCG